GUAGAAUCCUGACUGCUAUGAGACGAUCUUGUCUCUUUAUUCACUGAAAAAGUGAGGCUAUGUGCUGAAUACCUUUCACUCAGAUAAAUCUCCCUCCCACCUAUAAAAGUAUCAGUAUCUAUACCCAUCCUUCGCUUCUGACUCAGAGAUGACUCUCCGCUUGUCCAACAUUAAUGCUUCACCUAGGCUCUCAGUGGCACCCACCUUUUCAAGACCUCAGAGGUUUUGCUCAGUUAUACCCCUUCUCCUUUAUCUUCAUUCCCUCCCCUUAACCCUUCC